CAUAACCUGGUUGAUCCUGCCAGUAGUCAUAUGCUUGUCUCAAAGAUUAAGCCAUGCAUGUCUAAGUGUAAAUACGUCUACACUGUGAAACUGCGAAUGGCUCAUUAAAUCAGUUAUCGUUUAUUUGAUGAUCUCUUGUUACAUGGAUAACCGUAGUAACUCUAGAGCUAAUACAUGCGUCAAGCCCCGACUUCG
rnacentral:rRNA from 1 species